rnacentral:rRNA from 1 species
GAUGAACGCUGGCGGCGUGCCUAAUACAUGCAAGUCGAGCGCAAAGAUCAGGAGCUUGCUCCUGUGAUUUGAGCGGCGGACGGGUGAGUAACACGUAGGCGACCUACCCUUGAGAUUGGGAUAACUACCGGAAACGGUAGCUAAUACCGGAUACGACCUUUCCACACAAGUGGAAUUGUUAAAAGGCGGAUUUAUCUGCCGCUCAUGGAUGGGCCUGCGGUGCAUUAGCUAGUUGGUGAGAUAGUAGCUCACCAAGGCGACGAUGCAUAGUCGACCUGAGAGGGUGAUAGGCCAAACUGGGACUGAGACACGGCCCAGACUCCUACGGGAGGCAGCAGUAGGGAAUCUUCCGCAAUGGACGAAAGUCUGACGGAGCAACGCCGCGUGAGUGAUGAAGGGUUUCGGCUCGUAAAACUCUGUUGUUAGGGAAGAAUACUUGAGGUAGUAACUGGCCUUGAGAUGACGGUACUUAACCAGAAAGCCACGGCUAACUACGUGCCAGCAGCCGCAGUAA